rnacentral:rRNA from 1 species
AUGAAGUGCGUACUGUGGCACCAGCCAGUACACGGACAGCGGGGCCGUCCCAGCGUCGGUGGUUCCCCCGGCCACGGCGGCCUCCCUGCGGUGGCGCUCGAUGAAGCCCGCGACGAGAGAGGCCGCCACGGAGAUGGUGAACCCGACGCCCAUGCGGUGGAGGAAGGAGAUGCCACGGUCCAGGCCCGUGCGGCGGCGGGCCAGCGGGACGAGCGCACGGUCAUAGACGAAGAGGGUGACCAGCAUGGCGAGCAUGGUGAAGACGGUCAUGGAGCCCGCGGGGAUCUUGAAGGACGAGUGCGGAGCGAUGCGGCGGUCCAUGGUACUCGCCUGCUGCAGGGAGAAGGUGUGCUGCUGCGACGACGCCGUGAUCACCAGGAUGCCCGCCGCCCAGAUUGGGCCCAUGCGCACCACCGACUUGAGCUCCUCCACGCGGUGCACCGUGCUCAGCCGCCACAGGUUCAGCGGUUGCUUGCUGGAAGAGGCGUCCGUCGUGGGCAGGUCGCCGUCAGUGAUAAUGGCGGCUCGAUCAAAGAAGCUGCACGGUGGAGCAGAGAAACAGCGGGCUUGGCACCACUGGAACCACUCGAUUUUUUGGGAACAAAGCUUGGUUUACUGCCACAAUUUUGGUUUUCAACAGCUCCUAAUGAUGAUCUGAAAGGAGAAGCAAAGAAUUGCUGGCUGCAGUUGGUGAAUAUAGUGUGGGUGACGUUGGGAUCAUCGACGAAGCGGGUAUCAAAGCUUUUAUCAGACAGGUCAUCGAGGGACUUGAAGAUUGAAACACUGGACGUUGUACAGUGUUAA